rnacentral:rRNA from 1 species
UACGGAGGGAGCUAGCGUUAUUCGGAAUUACUGGGCGUAAAGCGCACGUAGGCGGCUUUGUAAGUAAGAGGUGAAAGCCUGGAGCUCAACUCCAGAAUUGCCUUUAAGACUGCAUCGCUUGAAUCCAGGAGAGGUGAGUGGAAUUCCGAGUGUAGAGGUGAAAUUCGUAGAUAUUCGGAAGAACACCAGUGGCGAAGGCGGCUCACUGGACUGGUAUUGACGCUGAGGUGCGAAAGCGUGGGGAGCAAACAGG